AGAGUUUGAUCCUGGCUCAGGAUGAACGCUGGCGGCGUGCCUUAAGCAUGCAAGUCGGACGGGAAGAUGAUGGCCGCAAGGCUGUUGUCAACCAGUGGCGGACGGGUGAGUAUAAGCAGGGAACGUACCCUUCACAGUGACAUAGCUCGUCGAAAGACGGGGUAAUAUCGCAUAAUGUCGCAAGACCAAAGACGCAAGUCGGUGAAGGAGCGGCCCUGUUCCCAUCAGCUAGUUGGUGAGGUAAUGGCUUACCAAGGCGACGACGGGUAGGGGGCGUGAGAGCGCGACCCCCCACAAUGGCACUGAGACACGGGCCAUACACCUACGGGUGGCAGCAACUGGGAAUAUUCGGCAAUGGGCGAAAGCCUGGCCGAGCGACGCCGCGUGAGGGAUGAAGUCUUUCGGGAUGUAAACCUCUUUUAUAUAGCCGUCGAGGCUAUAAGAAUAAGCGCCUACUAACUACGUGCCAGCAGUCGCGGUAAUACGUAGGGCGCAAGCGUUAUCCGGAUUCACUGGGCGUAAAGAGUCGUGUAGGCGGCAUGUCGCAUCGCACUUGAAAGCCCGAGGCUUAACCUCGGCGUUGGGUGCGAGAUGGACAAGCUAGAGUGCGGGAGAGGAAAGCGGAAUUCCCAGUGUAGCGGUGAAAUGCGUAGAUAUUGGGAGGAACACCAGUGGCGAAGGCGGCUUUCUGGACUGUGUCUGACACUGAGGCGCGAAAGCUAGGGGAGCGAACGGGAUUAGAUACCCCGGUAGUCCUAGCCGUAAACGAUGGGUACUAGGUGUAGGGGGUAUCGACCCCUCCUGUGCCGGAGUUAACGCAAUAAGUACCCCGCCUGGGGAGUACGGCCGCAAGGUUGAAACUCAAAGGAAUUGACGGGGGCCCGCACAAGCGGUGGAGUAUGUGGUUUAAUUCGACGCAACGCGAAGAACCUUACCAGGACUUGACAUCGAAAGAAAGUUUAAGAGAUUAGACUGUGCCCUUCGGGGAACUUGAAGACAGGUGGUGCAUGGCUGUCGUCAGCUCGUGUCGUGAGAUGUUGGGUUAAGUCCCGCAACGAGCGCAACCCUUAUUGCCAGUUGCCAUCAUUCAGUUGGGCACUCUGGCGAAACCGCCCCGGAUAACGGGGAGGAAGGUGGGGAUGACGUCAAGUCCUCAUGGCCUUUAUGUCCAGGGCUACACACGUGCUACAAUGGUCGGUACAAACCGUCGCAAACCCGUGAGGGGGAGCUAAUCGGAAAAAGCCGACCUCAGUUCGGAUUGUAGUCUGCAACUCGACUACAUGAAGCUGGAAUCGCUAGUAAUCGCAGAUCAGAACGCUGCGGUGAAUACGUUCCCGGGCCUUGUACACACCGCCCGUCACAUCACGAAAGUGGGCUGUACUAGAAGCCGGUGCGCUGACCCGCAAGGGGAGUAGCCGUCCAAGGUAUAACUCAUGAUUGGGGUGAAGUCGUAACAAGGUAUCC
rnacentral:rRNA from 1 species